UACGGAGGGGGCUAGCGUUGUUCGGAAUUACUGGGCGUAAAGCGUGCGCAGGCGGUUUUGUAAGCCAGAUGUGAAAUCCCCGGGCUCAACCUGGGAAUGGCAUUUGGGACUGCAAAGCUGGAGUGCGGCAGAGGGGACUGGAAUUCCUGGUGUAGCGGUGAAAUGCGUAGAGAUCAGGAGGAAUACCGAUGGCGAAGGCAGGUCCCUGGGUUGACACUGACGCUCAUGCACGAAAGCGUGGGGAGCAAACAGG
rnacentral:rRNA from 1 species